UAUUUUUCCAUGAAACAACUUUGUAGUUCAAUUUGUUCUGAGUAUGGUUUGCAAAAUUAAAGACAAUGGAGGACACUUUUUUUUUUCUCCAAGAUAAUUGGGAAAAGAAAGUCUAAAGUCAUUAUUGGAAUCCUGUUAAACAAGACUACACCCUCUCUGCAGACUUGUUACACUCAGAUUCUUUCUCAGUGGAUCCCAGGCGUAUCAGGUAGUGAGGACAGCCAGAACAGGCCAGCCUUAGCUGCUGUGUCUGCAGAGGAGCUGAAGGAUGGUCGCAGUGCAGCACCACACCACAAGAUGGCAAGAAUCAGAAGCUGACCUCAAACCAGAAUUCAGAUAGAACAAUGUAAUUACAUUAAAACUGGAGAUUCCAAACUACCAAAAAUGUAAUUUUAAUGAAACUGGGGGUUGCUUCAGAA